UAUGUCAGUUGUUAGUAUCAAUGUUGUCAACAGUUUCGGUUUAUUUUCGUAUUUAUUGCAUUGUUUAAAUUUAUCGGCAGUAAACUGUUGUUAUCGUGGCAAACGAUGAACAGGACGAUCCGAAGUGGCACCCGCCAGGUUAUUUAUAACGUUUACAGGCGUUGACUGGCAGAAUUUGAAGCCAAAACCUUGUUGUCGGAACUGAACAAUGUUUACCAAAGAACGGCAAAGAUGACAGGUAAAUCUGUUACUACUGUAAGGAGAAUUGUAUUAGAAGGUGACCUUAACAAUGCUGUUUGCAACGCCUGGAAAACGCCGGAAGGGGCGUCCAAAAAAGGAAUUGGACAAUUUCGACCUGGUGCCAUUAGGCAAAAGGUGCCAACUCUUAAGAAGUCCGCUUCCAAUAGUGAAAGAAGACCUGGGCUUUGAUGGUAGCCGGGAACACCUGAGAAAAGUACUUCAUGCUCUUGGGUUCAGAUCUUGCUGCAUCACGAUAACGCCUCUUCACAUACGUCCCUCAGAACAAAGGCGUUUAUUGAGAAAGCUGGGAUAGAAUCCUUACCAUAUCCACCCUGCAGUCCUGGCUUAGCUCCCUGCAAUUUCUUUUUGUUCCCGGUGGCAAAGAAAAAAUAAAAGGGAAGUUUUUUUCAAGUGCUGAAGAAGCCGUGGCUGCAUAUGAAUAAGCAAUUUCGGACCUAUCUGAUGAAGACUGGCAAAAGUACUUCCAAAGUUGGUUCAGGCGUUAAGACGAAUGGAACUUUGUAUAGAGAGUAAAGAAGAGUAUUUUGAAAAAAUGUAAAAUAAAUAAUAGUUGAAUAGUUUUUUUUACCUCAAAAAUUAUUGAGUGACCUACGUAAAUGAUCAUAUUAGACUGAUAAGUGUUAGAUAUUUGUGGUAACUUAUUUUUAAAAUGUGUUUUCAAUUAAAAGGCGCAUCAAGAUUGUUUACCUUAUUUCUAAUGCUAAUAAAAACGAAUAUUAGUAAAAAGUCAA